rnacentral:rRNA from 1 species
CUGGUUCUCCCCGAAAGCUAUUUAGGUAGCGCCUCGUGAAUUCAUCUCCGGGGGUAGAGCACUGUUUCGGCUAGGGGGCCAUCCCGGCUUACCAACCCGAUGCAAACUGCGAAUACCGGAGAAUGUUAUCACGGGAGACACACGGCGGGUGCUAACGUCCGUCGUGAAGAGGGAAACAACCCAGACCGCCAGCUAAGGUCCCAAAGUCAUGGUUAAGUGGGAAACGAUGUGGGAAGGCCCAGACAGCCAGGAUGUUGGCUUAGAAGCAGCCAUCAUUUAAAGAAAGCGUAAUAGCUCACUGGUCGAGUCGGCCUGCGCGGAAGAUGUAACGGGGCUAAACCAUGCACCGAAGCUGCGGCAGCGACGCUGAUGCGUUGUUGGGUAGGGGAGCGUUCUGUAAGCCUGUGAAGGUGGCCUGUGAGGGUUGCUGGAGGUAUCAGAAGUGCGAAUGCUGACAUAAGUAACGAUAAAGCGGGUGAAAAGCCCGCUCGCCGGAAGACCAAGGGUUCCUGUCCAACGUUAAUCGGGGCAGGGUGAGUCGACCCCUAAGGCGAGGCCGAAAGGCGUAGUCGAUGGGAAACGGGUUAAUAUUCCCGUACUUGGUGUUACUGCGAAGGGGGGACGGAGAAGGCUAUGUUGGCCGGGCGACGGUUGUCCCGGUUUAAGCGUGUAGGUGUGUGUUCCAGGUAAAUCCGGUUCACUUUAACACUGAGGCGUGAUGACGAGGCACUACGGUGCUGAAGCAACAAAUGCCCUGCUUCCAGGAAAAGCCUCUAAGCAUCAGGUAACAUCAAAUCGUACCCCAAACCGACACAGGUGGUCAGGUAGAGAAUACCAAGGCGCUUGAGAGAACUCGGGUGAAGGAACUAGGCAAAAUGGUGCCGUAACU